UGCUCCCAGCAGCUGAAUCGGUGCUGCUUACUAGGAAGAAGUGGGGAGCCAGUAGGGAGGUUGGUGUGGGGCAGAGGCAGAAGCAGGAGCUGGCUCUGCCAGUGCAUUUGUACUGCACUGACCUCCCUGCUGCUUCAUCCCUCUCCUUCCUGGUAAGCAGCAGUGGCUCAGUUGUUGGGAGG